rnacentral:rRNA from 1 species
UGGUGGGUAGUUUGACUGGGGCGGUCUCCUCCUAAAGAGUAACGGAGGAGCACGAAGGUUGGCUAAUCCUGGUCGGACAUCAGGAGGUUAGUGCAAUGGCAUAAGCCAGCUUGACUGCGAGCGUGACGGCGCGAGCAGGUGCGAAAGCAGGUCAUAGUGAUCCGGUGGUUCUGAAUGGAAGGGCCAUCGCUCAACGGAUAAAAGGUACUCCGGGGAUAACAGGCUGAUACCGCCCAAGAGUUCAUAUCGACGGCGGUGUUUGGCACCUCGAUGUCGGCUCAUCACAUCCUGGGGCUGAAGUAGGUCCCAAGGGUAUGGCUGUUCGCCAUUUAAAGUGGUACGCGAGCUGGGUUUAGAACGUCGUGAGACAGUUCGGUCCCUAUCUGCCGUGGGCGCUGGAGAACUGAGGGGGGCUGCUCCUAGUACGAGAGGACCGGAGUGGACGCAUCACUGGUGUUCGGGUUGUCAUGCCAAUGGCACUGCCCGGUAGCUAAAUGCGGAAAAGAUAAGUGCUGAAAGCAUCUAAGCACGAAACUUGCCCCGAGAUGAGUUCUCCCUGAGACCUAGAGUCUCCUGAAGGAACGUUGAAGACGACGACGUUGAUAGGCCGGGUGUGUAAGCGCAGCGAUGCGUUGAGCUAACCG